rnacentral:rRNA from 1 species
AUUGCAAUUGAUGUUCAAUCUCGAAGAGAAGGAAGAGAUCUUUGAAAAGUAGUUUUUUAUGAUCCGAUAAAGAAUCAAACAUGCUUAAAUGUUCCAGCUAUUCUCUAUUUCCGUGAAAAGGGUGCUCAACCUACAAGAUUUGUUUAGGAUAUUUUAAGAAAGGCAGAAUUCUUUAAAUAAAAGAGAAAGAACUUUGAGUUAAUUGAAGAACUAAAUGAAUAA